rnacentral:lncRNA from 12 species
CGCGGCUCUGCCCAGAAGAUGUCAGGCCCCGGGCACCGGGAGAACACUUUGUAGGUACCAGGAAUCCAGACAUAGGCCAAGGAGGACCCAGGCUUCCCAAGAACACUUUGUCUACACACGGUACAGGUGGCUACCUGGCUGGAUUCUGUUCCAUGCCUACCCUGAGCGGAGACCUGUCCCUUCAGGCUCUUAAGACACACAUUCCACCGCCCCGCCCCCAAUGAGCCAAAGACCUGGGUUCCAUCCUGCAUGCAGAAGAACUGACUGGCUGGCGGAUGGUUGUGGAGGAGACUUCCACGCUGAAAUGCAUGGGAGGCCAGAUCUCCUUCCGGAGGGGCUCAGACUACUGCUCAGACUACAAUUGCCCACGACCACUUCUGAGCCCCACAGCUGGACAAACCCAGGGUCAGAACGGGCAGUGUGUCUGGCUCUCGACGCUGGUGACUUUGAUAAAAGACAACUGUGGAUGUUUGGAAAUACCAGGAAAUACCAAGACAAUUUGAAAGAGGUCCCAAACAUCAACUUAAGGAGGAAAGCUUCGUAACCACUUGGGGCCAAUGGAGCCAGAAGACAAGAGUCAUGGGCAUUUUGUCAUUUUCUGAUUGGAGAUUUGAGAAGGCUUCCACAGGAGAAAUCAUACUCUCCGGGAAGAUAGGAGUCCAAGUCUCCUGGUCUUCGGCUGGUGACCUCAGACAAGCCUUGACCUCUCCGAGUGAGCCUCAGUCUCCUCCUCUGUGUAAAGUCUACAUAGUCCUUAAAAGCCCUUCCCUGUCUCACAUUGUUAGAACCUCUUUUUUGGAACUCAACAUUCACCCCCAUUGUGGCUGAAACGCCAGAGUCAUGACUGUAAGAUUUUCAGUAGAAAAAAGGAUUAAAUUAAAACAAAUAAUUUGCACUUGGAUACACAACCCCAAAUGAUCAACAGGAUCACACAGCUUGACAGCAACCCAUCAUUUAGACAAAGAUGUGUGAAAUCAAGAGACGUUGAAAAUAAAAAAAUAAAAAAAUAAAAAAGAGACGUUGAA